UGGUCGCUCUGCUGGCGUCCCAACUCCAUCCCCUGGGGGUGGCUUUGCUUUCCCAUCUCUUGUCUGUCUUCCUUGACGUGUGUGUGUCCCUGGCAAACCUCCUCAGGCCUUGGAGGAGUAAGAUGGCCUCACUUCAUUUGCUUGAAGUUGCAUGCAGUGGAGCUGUAUCCAGCAACAAAGCUGACGUCCAAAUGGGCCAGGAGGGUGGUCGUUGUAAAGGCUGGAAACUGGCGGGGCUGGAGGAGGCGGCACCGGGCAGGGGCAGGGUAUCCAGGAAGCGGCCAUGUGAGAGAACAAGACAAAGGGACCCAGCGUCGGAAGCCAGCAGCCCCGGGGGUGCGAGCGCCGGUCAGCAGUCCCAGGUCCGAGCCGGUGCCGUCCCGCACGGCGGGGAAGCCCAGCUGGCCCUUUAAGGAGGGGGGCCGCCGCUGGCACCCGCGCAGCUGGCCCAGCGCAGAGACGGGCACGUUCCUGAUCCUGCUGGAAGGCUGAGCUGGAAAGGAGACAGCGUGUUCUCGCACAGCUCAGUAAACAAGCCCAAAGUGUUUUGAAAGCCUCUGCCGA